GAGAUCGGUAAACCAAAGCAUACCCUCUGUUGACAUACUCUCGGGACAUACAUCGACUGCCUGUCUUAACUGAUAAGAUGCAAACGCGAAUAAAGGUAGUUGAGUAAUAGGCAAUGCGUAAAUCAUGAGAGGAUGACAAUUGAACCUUUUGUACAGCUUUUUUCGUACAGUACGGAAAUCGGUAUUUGUUCGGCAACGUUUCUUUGCUUCUUUGAUCAGUGGUUGCACUUGCACAAACCGACGAGCCGUUUUAAGGCUUGCAAUAGCAAUUGGCAAUGUAAUAGUAGAACGAAGGAAUAUAGCCAUUGCCGGAAUUUCAUAGCACCAUGGCAUGUACGAGUGAACGCCUAUUAAUGUUU